UACGGAGGGUGCAAGCGUUAUCCGGAAUCAUUGGGUUUAAAGGGUGCGCAGGCGGAAUAAUAAGUCAGUGGUGAAAUCUCUCGGCUCAACCGAGGAACUGCCAUUGAUACUGUUAAUCUAGAGUUUAGUUGAAGUAGGCGGAAUGUAGCAUGUAGCGGUGAAAUGCAUAGAUAUGCUACAGAACACCGAUUGCGAAGGCAGCUUACUAAGCUAACACUGACGCUCAGGCACGAAAGCGUGGGGAUCAAACAGG
rnacentral:rRNA from 1 species